AACGAACGCUGGCGGCAUGCCUAACACAUGCAAGUCGAACGGGACCUUCGGGUCUAGUGGCGCACGGCUGCGUAACGCGGGGUAACCUGCCCUUAGGUUCGGAAUAACUCCCUGAAAGGGGUGCUAAUACCGGAUAAUGUCUUCGGACCAAAGAUUUAUCGCCUUUGGGUGGGGCCGCGUUGGAUUAGGUGGUUGGUGGGGUAAAAGCCGACCAAGGCGGCGAUCCAUAGCUGGUCUGAGAGGAUGAUCAGCCGCACUGGGAUUGAGACACGGCCCAGACGGGUACGAGCGGUGGGAGUGGUUGAUAAUGGAGAGGGGGCCAAAUGCAGAAACAGCACGGGCGCGAGGAUGAUGAAGGCGUUGGGGUUGUAAUGCGCUUGUACCCGGGAUGAUAAGACGAGAACCGGGAGAAUAGCACCGGCUUACUACCGG
rnacentral:rRNA from 1 species